UAAGAAGCAGGAACACAUGGAACAAAUGUCUGUCUUCUGUAUAUUCCCCCAGACCAUAACACUGGUAACCAGGAAUCACAUACUCGGGCAUAUCGUUUUCAUUGCUUGGUCUGCGCCGCCUCUGGCAGUUGUGUAGCUCUUGUGCCAUUUUGGUGUUUUCUUCUUGCGUUUCCGAACGUGUUUGAGAAAUAAUGAAGGUGUUAAUUUGCCAGCACUUAUUGAUUCAACCAAUUACAUUGCAGCUUGCACGUGUAUGAAUUUAGUAUUCUAUAUGCCAUGGUUUUAUGCAAAUCAGUAUUCCACCCAGUAGCAUUUUACUCAUAGUAUAUGCCAUGCCUGAACUUCAGAUAGUCACCUUUAGACCUGCAUACUUGUGAGCUGUAAUGUAAGACUAAACCUUGUGGACAGCUCCGAAUGUCUAACCAUGCAAUCUACCAAAGAAUUCAACUGUCGAGCUCCAUAUGUGUAUAAUAAGGCACAUACAUAAUUAGAAUGAGAAUACCUGGUUAUCAUAAUAGAAGCAUUUUACUAGUAUUUUUGGUAGUUUGAGGGCAGAGUAAGAGCUUGCAAGCAUAACAAUUCUUUUCACAAAAGGUGUUUCAACUGGGGUAUAUUCAAUGGUUGAUACUAGUUGAAGUUGUCAUUGACUCGAAGAAUCUUCCAUCAACUGGGGUAUAUUCAAUGGUUGAUACUAGUUAAAGCUGUCAUUCACUCCAAGAAUCUUCAAUGUGUUGCCACAAUGUUGCCAUCUUAAGUUUAUCAUUUAUUAGAUAAUCAUGUGAAAGUACAACUGAACUAUAUUGUUUCUUCCGCAUUUUAUAUGCAUCCAACUUGGGUUUUAGAAAAAAACGAGGAGAUAUGAACAUGCAGCUCCGGUGACUGUAGCUCAUGGUGGUGGCAAAGAACAAAACUAAUGUAGUUUCUAGUUCUACCAAGAACAUUGAUUUUAGAAAUGCCGAGGAGAAUAUGUUCUAGAUGAAUGAGGAUUUCAAAACGCCCAGAACUAGGCUCAGCUAACUAAGUAGCAGAGAUGACCGGAAGCAGUGGAAGGUAACAUCUUAAGCAUAUUAUUUUCUGAAUUUGUAUAAUAUGUAUGAGUUCUGAAAGGAGCUACUGAGCUUUGUAUAUACUUAUUUGUACGAAAUAUGGAGAUUUUGAAUAAUACUUUAUACAGACCAAGAACAUUGUUCAGUAUCUCUAACUGGGAAUUUGUACUAGCCUGACCUAAAUAUAUUCAAUUAUUCAGGAAUUUACUUAUGUAAUGAAUUUCUGCAGUACAGUUAGUUGUGCACCUGAAAGGCAUAUGAUGUCAAUAAGCCUAAGAUGUUUUCUAAUUCUCAAAGAGUGACUCAUCAACAAUGGUAUUACUGGUAAAUGGUCGCAGCUGUUCUUGUCCAUGCCAUACUACUUCUGUUAUUGGCAUGGCUCUACUGUGAGAUUAUGGGGCAGCAGUAAGUACUCUGUGAGAUGACCUAGUCAACCACAGAGCAGUGUGACAAACCUCUUGUGCUCAGCCUCCAUUAGCACAGCUUUGUGUUGGUUUAUCAUACUGUGGAUUUGUCAUCCUCACUUGCCAACGGAUUCACUUGCAUUCUGUCAAAGAUGCUUUGUGAGUUCUAGUCCUCGUCGAGCUAUGGCGGGUCUCCGGCUUAACAGAAAAUAAAAAACACCCUGAAGAAGUUGGCAACACUGGUUUAUGCUGUAUAUAAGAUGCAAUUGCUGGCUUAAGAUUAUACCUGUCACAACUUUGGCUCAUAGCUAAUUCCUGCAAUCAGGGGAAGCUUUCUUGCCACCUGGCACGGUGUAGAUGGGGUUUGCAGGUUUCUCUUAACAUCGGCCCUGUCUUGAUGACAAGAUUCUGGUGACAGCUUGCUAAUAUGACGACAAAGAAGCAUUCUGCAUAACCUUCAGAUGAAAAUUGCUCAACUUUGGAACUUCAUAAGCUCUUCUCUAAGUCAUAUGUUGGUCCCGAAUGUUCGUAGUUGACACACAUAUGAAGCUUCAAUUGGUUAAGGAAUUUUGAGGUCUUCAGUUCAGAGUUCAAAUGCAGAGAAUUUUUUGGAUUUUUUAAGUUUGCAGCUUCACAUCAGUAUUCAUUUUAAGGAAGUAUACUCAUUGUACUCUAUAUAAGGCCUCAAAUAUGUUAUUGUGCUAUAGCUUAUUUGACCAAUAUGCUACUGCUGCAUGACAUACUUGAUGCAGACUUAUUUAUCCAGUAUUUAAACUUGAUGCGGACUCACUACUGGGUACUGUAACUUGAUAGAACUAUGGUUGCCAUUUGUGCAACUUGCAAGGUCAAGAAAGUUGCAGGUAUGUCUUUCUCAUGUGAUGUUGUUUGCAGUACAUUCCUUUGCAGUUCAACGAUUGAGAUAAUCUAUAGAUGGUAAUGUUUCAUAGAUACACAACACAGAUGUUUACCUUUUCAUAUUGCCAAGCGGAUGGUUUUGUUGCUUCACACAUGUUAAUUGCUCUCUAUGUUCUCAUUGACAUAGAGCAUAGGUACAGUACCAAAUAGAUACUGUGUGUUUUGAUUAUGUUGCUUCACUGAUAGUAGUUUUACUUGGCUGACACCUUGCUCUGUGUUCAGAUUAAUUCAAUGUAAACACCUUGACACAAUGAUAUAGUAGUUCAAUUGUCACAGUAGUUAAUUUUCGAAUUCAGUGCUGAUAAUUUCAAGAUACUUUACACAAUGAUACAUGUGCACUGAGCUAGUUAAGUGUCUGGUAAUUUCGAUCUUGUAGUGGAUGAUUAAUUUGCUACAUGUACCUUCUUAUUCUUCAGAGAAGAGAAGCAGCACGCCCAAGCAUUGGUGACACUUCGGUGGCGUGGCCACCGGUUUUUGGUCACCGGAGGAGAUACGGUGACGAGAUGGAGCUGUCGGCGAGGCAGUGAGACCACGAGUCGAGACGGUGAGCCGGGGAGAAGGUCUUCCCCUCCCUGCUACCUCUGGCCGCGGCGGCGAGGCAUGCCCAAACUCGUCGACGAGCUCCUUCCUUGGCGGCGGACGGUGAGGGAGCUGCGGAGGCGGGGGAGAACGACGACCGAAGCUCAAGUCAGCCACAAAAGGAUGACUUAUAUACAUGUACUUUGAAGUGUCUUUUGCUGUCAUCUGCAGGUUCGGCAGGGUAGGAGCCGCUGCCCGGCCUCCGUUGCUGACCGGAUAUGCAGGGCCGUUGCUCAGUGUGCACCUGCUGCGCUUGGUUCUGUGAUUCUGUCCCAGGCGGUUAUUCUGUGUUUUAUAUAAUCCUAUUUCAAGUAGUUUGGGCAAUUUCUGGAACUUGUAAUAUCGUUUCCUUUCCACGUCUAUGCCUCCAUUUGUCUUGGUGAAUCCUGUCGAAUUGUAAGGGUAAAACUAAAGCUUGUAAUAUCAUUCCGUGUGCGUUGUCUUGUGUUUA